UAAUUGUCCUUCGGCUUUUGGAAAGAUGCGGGAAAGUCAUCAGAUUUUGCACAUUUGCUGAUUGAGAAAUAAGAUGCGGGAAAGUCAUAAGAUUUUGCAAAUUCGCUGAUUGAGAAAUAACUGUAGCCUUCAGCACCACUUUUUCUUUUAUCCUUGGCUUCAUGCUGAGGUAAUCUGCGCAGGAAAAAGAACUCAUUACCAUGAGUUCUCCUUCCUCUACUCAUUAUUAUGUCCUCUUCCAGAAGCAACUGAGAAUGUCCUCUGUAGCUGCUAGCUGAAAAUAUUUUUAAAGAUAGUGUCAGGGAACUGACAUCGGAGCUAGAGGUGGAGGGGAGGCUCUCUAAUGAUGCUGGAGAAGGGCCCAGCAGGGAGAGAGGCAGCUCAGCAGAUGGGGAAGCAAUUCAGUGCAACACCAGGAAUAAGGAGGGGCAGAUGGGGAAUCGGAGAGGGCUCCCAGACUCUUCACCGGACACCAGCGGGGAGAGCACUGGUCCUCCGCUACCCACGCCCUCCCUGCGCAGAAGACUUCCGCGCAGAGAAAGUAGGAGGAGACUGGGUGUCAAACAACUUUUAUGUUGGAAAAGGUUUAAGAAACGCCCACUGACGGAUUCUGCUAGCGACUGAGGCAGCCACGAAUUGAAGGGCUGUCCAGACAGAAAGGUUUAACAAGGCAACAUAGCCAGGAGAGGCGGCAACUUACGCACGAGCAACCCCAUACCAUUAUAGCAAUCCGUCAGUCCCUGACGUUGCUUGUGCACAGCGGCAGGCAGCAUCAUGAGCAAAACCGGAGAAGCUGGCGCCACGGAGGGAGCAGCAGGAGUGCAAAAUCUGGUGGAGAGGAACCGAGAUUUGGAGCAGCAUGUGGCUCUUCUAAUGGCGCGGCUGGACGAAAGGCGGGCUCAAGAUGCACAGGUCAGACCCACCCCCGUAGCAAGGAAGGUACCGGGACUGGUACACAAAUUUGGAGGGAAGCCUCAGGACUAUAGUGCGUUCUGGACGGAAAUAAGUACGCUUUGGAACUGCAGCAGAAUGAUUUUGCAGACGACGGGGAGCGGGUGGCUUAUAUUGUUGGGCAUCUGCAGGAUGGGGCCAGGGAAUGGAUCAGGCCCCUAAUGGCAACGCAGAAUGCCGCCUUGAAGGACCUGAGGAAAUUUUUUCAGGGGAUGGACGCAAUGUACUCCAGUGAUGUGCAGCAAAGUGUGACUCGGCGGGAACUGAUGAACUGUAAACAGGGGCACCAGUCAGUUAGAGACUACUGGUCACGCUUUGCCAUGUUAGUUCACCGGCUCGGGUGGGAACUGGACUCUGAACCCAUUCAAAUGUUGUUCGAGGAGGGGUUGUCCCCAACGGUGAAGGACGAGCUUUCCCGCGUACCCCGCCCGCAGUCGAUGGAUCAGCUGACCAAGGCUGUGCUUGCGAUUGGUGUAAGGCAGGAAGCGCGGGCUCAGGAGAAGCGGGAAGGGAGAGAGCAAGGUUACCAUGACUACCGCAUUCCUGAAAUACCAAGGCAGCCUUCCCCGCCAGCGGAGCCAAUGGAAAUAGAUGGGGCACGCGCGCGGGAGGUUUCAAAUUCCAGCGACGGUCGCAAGAAGGAGGGAAAGGAUUGGAAAACUAAUAAGAAGUGUUUCCUCUGCCAGCGGCCAGGACAUUUUGCCAGGGUCUGCCCUCAAAGAAAGGCCUGGCAAGGAAUGGUGGGAGCUGCAGGGGGUGAGGAGGAGGUGGAAAAAGCAAAGGAGCCGGGAAACGACAACGCUUGGCUGCCACUCAGAGGGCACAGCAGCCAGGCCAGCAACCAAUAGAAGUGCCCCAACCAGACGCCCCCAGGGCGGCUAUAGCCAUAGAAGUGGUGCUAGAACUCCCGAAUGGGCACCCAGUCAAGGUGAAAGGGCUGUUGGAUUCAGGCAGUUCCUGCAAUUUCUUCAGCAAGGACUUUGCACUAGAGCACCAGCUCCACCUGCUGCCCUUAGAUUUCCCCUUGCAAGUAACCACCAUUGAUGGCAGAGAGCUACUGGGAGGGGAAGUGACACACCAGACCCCACCAAUGAGAAUGAGGGUUUCCAGGCACUCGGAGACCAUCGCCUUUCACGUAGCCUCACUGGCAGGGCCCCCAAUAAUAUUAGGGAUGAGCUGGCUAGCACAACAUGAUCCAGUGGUGGCGUGGCAUCAGAGGACGGUCACCUUUGGGUCCGCUUACUGUUUGGAACACUGUCUAGGGGGGGAAACCCCAAGAAUGACCGUGGCCAGGGUGGCUGGGAUAGCUGUGGAGCGGAAAGGGGAGGUGCCACCACUAUAUGCUGACCUGCAGGAGGUCUUCAGCGAGAAGGAGGCGGAUAGACUACCCCCCCAUAGGCCCUUUGACUGCCAAAUCAACUUGCUCCCAGGGGCGCAGCUGCCGGUGGGUAAACUGUAUGCCAUGUCGGACAGGGAGAUGAAGGAGUUGCGGGAAUUUAUUGACAAGAACCUGAAAAGAGGCUUCAUAAGAGAAUCGAAAGCAGUGGGGGGCAGUCCGGUGUUCUUUGUGGACAAAAAGGUCACAAAUAAACCCAGGCUCGUUGUGGACUAUAGGGCCGUCAAUUUGGUGUCGGAACCCGUGACCUUCCUGAUGCCAAGGAUUGAUGACAUUUUAACACGGGUGAGGCAAGGGAAAAUUUUUACCAAGCUGGACCUCAGGGGAGCAUACAAUUUGAUUAGGAUGAGGGAAGGGGACGAAUGGAAGACCACAAUGUUCACACCCCUAGGGGCCUUUGAGUACCUAGUUAUGCCUUUUGGAUUACAGUCGGGCUCCGCCUGUUUUCAAGCAUUCAUGCACCACGUGCUGGGGUCCCUGCUGUACAAGAACUGCGUAGCCUUCUUGGACGACGUCUUAAUCUAUUCGGACAAUGAGGAGCAACAUGUCAGGGAUGGCAGGGAAGUGCUAAAACGACUGCAGAAGCACCAGUUGUGGGUCAAACUGGAAAAAUGUCAGUUUCAUGCCAGAGAAGUCGAGUUUCUGGGGUACAGGUUGUCAGACAAGGGCCUAGCGAUGGACCCAAGCAAGGUGCAGGCAGUGCUGGAGUGGAAGGCUCCCAAAACCCGGAAGGACGUGCAGAGGUUCCUAGGGUUCAGCAACUUCUACAGGAAGUUCAUCAAGAACUUGGCCUCUUGACAGCGCCCAUCACAGAUUGUCUCAGUAGCAAAAGGAAGUUCGUCUGGACAGAGGGAGCCCAGCAGUCCUUUGAAAUACUGAAGAAGGCGUUCGCAUCAGAAGAGCAGCUCCUGCACGUGGAUCUGGAGAAACCCAUGAGGCUAGAGACCGACGCGUCCGACAGAGCCAUUGGGACGGUUCUUUUGCAGCCAGGGAGGAGCAAGCAGGAAUGGAAGCCGUGUGCCUUUUUCUCGCGAAAGCUGGGCAAAUCGGAGCAAAACUAUACUGUGUAUGACCGUGAACUGCUUGCGAUCUAUGCGGCGUUUCGUCGAUGGCGCCAUCUUCUAAUAGGGGCGCAGCACAAGAUCCAGGUUUGUACAGAUCACAAGAACUUGGAAUACUGGAGGACUGCACGAGUACUCAACCAGAGACAGAUUCGAUGGGCACAGGAGUUCUCCAAGUUUUCCUUCGAAAUCCGAUACGUACCUGGGGAGGAAAACGUGAGAGCAGAUGCGCUCUCCAGGAAGCCAGAGUACUGGGAAGGAGAGGGGCCGCCGGAGAUACGACACGUGAUCCCCGAGAACCGGUGGGUGUGUGGGGGAAUCUUGGUGGGGAAACGAGAACUGGCCGGACUCACUAGAAACGACGUGUUCGCACAAACUAAAAUCCGGGAACUCCGAGGCGGAAGAGAAACCCCAGGAGGGUUUGAGGAGAAGGAAGGGGUGCUGUACUAUAAGGGGGCGCUUUAUGUACCGGGGGAGACCCUACGGGGGAAGGUACUCAAACAACUCCACGACAAUCCCACAGCUGGACACUUUGGACAGCACAAAACCAUGAUGCUUGUCACCAGGCAGUUCUGGUGGCCCAGGGUGAGGGAGGAUGUACGGGAAUAUGUACGGGGUUGCGACCGCUGCCAAAGGGCAAAGGGGUGCGGGCUGCCCCCGCAGGAUUACUGGAACCCUUACCCACGCCGGGAAAACCCUGGGAGGUGGUGUCCAUUGAUUUUAUGACCGAUCUGCCCAAGUCCCGGGGAAAGACAGCAGUCAUGGUAGUGGUCGACUUACUGACAAAAAUGUGCCAUUUUAUAGCCUGCUCACAUGCGGCUACGGCAGAGGAAACAGCCAGGUUGUUUGUAGAUCACAUAUUCAGGUUGCAUGGGGCUCCCUUGAGGGUUAUCUCCGACCGCGGGAAACAAUUUACUUCCCGGUUCUGGAGGAAGCUCAUGAGCUUGCUACAGGUCGAAGUGGGCUUCUCGACGGCGAGACACCCGGAAACCAACGGGCAAGCAGAAAGAGCGAACAGUAUACUCCAGCAAUACCUACGCUGUUAUGUCAGCGAGAGGCAAAACGAUUGGGUGGAGAAACAAGCGCUGGCUGAAUUUGCGUACAAUAACGCUGAACAUGUGUCCACGGGAAUGAGCCCGUUCAUGGCCAAUUAUGGGUGUCACCCCAGGGCCUUCCCGGGGAGUGGGGAGGAAAGUUGGAGCGUGCCUGCGGCAGAGCAGUUUGUGGAAGAAAUGGAGGCCCUGCACCAGCAACUUAAGAUGAACUUGGAGCGGGCCAAGGAAAUUUACAAGAGGCAGGCAGACAAGCACCGUAGGGAAGGGGAAACCAUACGGGUGGGGGACAGAGUGUGGUUGUCAACCCAAGGGUUACCCUUUAAGGGGGGGUGCAAGAAGUUGCAGCCCAGGCGGCUGGGACCGUUUGAAGUCCCAGCAGGUGAACCCCGUGGCAUUCAAGCUCAAGUUGCCUGACAGCAUGAAAAUACACCCGGUGUUCCAUAGGUCCCUACUCUCACCGUACAGGGAGGGGCGGGAAUUCCCGGGGCGAGAGGGAGAAGUCACCACACACCCGCAGGUAGAAGAGAGGGAGCACCACCACUUGGCCACGGAAAUACUUGAUUCAAGGUGGCGAGGAGGCCAGGUGGAGUACUUGGUAGCUUGGGAGGGAGAACCCGGGUCGGAAAACACGUGGGUUCCCGCGGAGGCAAUUGAUGACGGGUAUCUGGUGGAGGAAUUCCACCGCCUGUUCCCGGGCAAACCCAAACCACUGGCAAGAUUCUGGGAGGAGCAAUUUGGAACCACAGACGAUGAAGAGGAUUAUGUGGAUUUUCCUGCCUCCGAGGAGGAGGGAGGAGAGGUUUCAGAGGAAGAAGAAUCAGACUGGGAGGCCCACCCCGUGGGAAGGGAUCAGAACGGGUGGGAAGCGGGCUUCGAAUCCUCUGAGGAUGACGACAGCUUCUUCCGGGGGUUCCCCGCAUCAUCGGCCGAAGAAAGGGACGAAGUUGGAUCAACAGGUUGGGCCGGGGGUGGAGGGGGUCCUGGGGGGGAGGUGGAUGU